ACGCUGGCGGCGUGCCUAACACAUGCAAGUCGAGCGGCAGCGAGUUUUACACUGAAUUCUGGAAGCUUCUAGUUGAAAGAGAAGAUUUAUUCAAGAAUUUUGUGUAAAAUGUCGGCGAGCGGCGGACGGCUGAGUAACGCGUGGGAACGUACCCCAAAGUGAGGGAUAACGCAUCGAAAGGUGUGCUAAUACCGCAUAUGGUCUUCGGAUUAAAGCCUUCGGGCGCUUUGGGAACGGCCUGCGUAAGAUUAGAUAGUUGGUGGGGUAAUGGCCUACCAAGUCGACGAUCUUUAACUGGUUUGAGAGGAUGAUCAGUCAGACUGGAACUGAGACACGGUCCAGACUCCUACGGGAGGCAGCAGUGAGGAAUCUUCCACAAUGGGCGAAAGCCUGAUGGAGCAACGCCGCGUGCAGGAUGAAGGCCUUCGGGUUGUAAACUGCUUUUAUAAGUGAGGAUUAUGACAGUAACUUAUGAAUAAGGAUCGGCUAACUACGUGCCAGCAGCCGCGGUCAUACGUAGGAUCCGAGCGUUAUCCGGAGUGACUGGGCGUAAAGAGUUGCGUAGGUGGUUCAAUAAGCGAAUAGUGAAAGCUGGUGGCUCAACCAUUCAGAUUAUUAUUCGAACUGUUGAACUCGAGAGCAGAAGAGGUAGCUGGAAUUUCUAGUGUAGGAGUGAAAUCCGUAGAUAUUAGAAGGAACACCGAUGGCGUAGGCAGGCUACUGGGCUGUUUCUGACACUGAGGCACGAAAGCGUGGGGAGCGAACCGGAUUAGAUACCCGGGUAGUCCACGCCGUAAACGAUGGAUACUAGCUGUUUGGGGUAUCGACCCCCUGAGUAGCGAAGCUAACGCGUUAAGUAUCCCGCCUGUGGAGUACGAUCGCAAGAUUAAAACAUAAAGGAAUUGACGGGGACCCGCACA
rnacentral:rRNA from 1 species